rnacentral:sRNA from 1 species
UUUGCUAUAAUGUUAUUUAUCUUCUUAUUGAAGAACAAUAAGAAGCCAUCUCCUUUGUGUUGUUUAUAGUAACAAACAAAAACAAAUUUUUGCUCGAAGUAUGUUAUAAGUACCUAGUCCUUGCUUAUAUCAUACAUUUAAUUCAUUUCCCGUAAAAGCCAAGUACACCGCGUACUUGGC